rnacentral:lncRNA from 1 species
AAGUUUUGUUUGAGCAGCUAACCAAACAGUAAACCUGUGUCUAGGAAGAGCAGAUGAAGUAAGCAUUAAGUUCCUCCAUGCAGUCUUAGGAAACUUUGGCAGCAACGCAAUAUACAUUUUGUGAAUCUGAAAUUUUCCUAGCUUGCAUACACUCUGCAACCUGCUGAUAAUAUUACCUUGCAACUGAGUAUUCCCCAACACCA